GACGAACCGUGCGAACGUUGUUCGGAAUCACUGGGCUUAGAGGGCGCGUAGGCGGGUCGAAAAGUCCGUGGUGAAAUCCCCCCGCUCAACGGGGGAACGGCCGCGGAUACUGUCGGCCUCGAGGGGGGUAGGGGCGAGCGGAACGCUGGGUGGAGCGGUGAAAUGCGUUGAUAUCCAGCGGAACUCCGGUGGCGAAGGCGGCUCGCUGGACCUUCACUGACGCUGAGGCGCGAAAGCCAGGGGAGCGAACGGG
rnacentral:rRNA from 1 species